rnacentral:rRNA from 1 species
GAUGAACGCUGGCGGCGUGCCUAAUACAUGCAAGUCGAGCGAACAGACGAGGAGCUUGCUCCUCUGACGUUAGCGGCGGACGGGUGAGUAACACGUGGAUAACCUACCUAUAAGACUGGGAUAACUUCGGGACACCGGAGCUAAUACCGGAUAAUAUAUUGAACCGCAUGGUUCAAUAGUGAAAGACGGUUUUGCUGUCACUUAUAGCUGGAUCCGCGCCGCAUUAGCUAGUUGGUAAGGUAACGGCUUACCAAGGCAACGAUGCGUAGCCGAACUGAGAGGGUGAUCGGCCACACUGGAACUGAGACACGGUCCAGACGCCUACGGGAGGCAGCAGUAGGGAAUCGUCCGCAAUGGGCGAAAGCUUGACGGAGCAACGCCGAGUGAGUGAUGAAGGUCUUCGGAGCGUAAAACUCUGUUAUUAGGGAAGAACAAAUGUGUAAGUAACUAUGCACGUAGUGACGGUACCGAAUCAGAAAGCCACGGCUAACUACGUG